rnacentral:lncRNA from 1 species
UUUUUUUUUUUUUUUUUUUUUUUUUUUUUUUUUUUUUGGUAACCUGGAAUGCAGUACCAGACAUGAGUUCCUUCUUUAGAGUGGGCCUCAAAUCUAACCAUAAAAUGUUUGGUUUGUCCUAUAAAAAUCAUACCUGUGUUGUAACAGUGGACACACAUCUUGCCUGGAAAGUUAGGAUUAUAGGUUUUAGGGUUUCCAUCUGGGUAAGUCCAUUGAUAUACCCUGUACCCUCUAGCAGCCUCCAUUGUACCUUUUGCCACUAUGAACUCUGGCCAAUAGGGAAAAGUCUAGUUCUGUUCCAGUUUGAUUUAUGUAUCUUGUAUCUGUAUACAUUGUAUCAGCAGAAGGGCCUUUUUCUUUUUCUUUAGAAAAAAAUCUCUUUUAUUUGGAAUCUAAGGUCCCUGGCCCCAGUGCAUAUCCAGUAAACUGCAGUUAAGCGUCAACCAUCUAGCUAAUGACCCUGCUCCAUAAUGGGGUCAGAUGAGUAGACAUUUGGAUAUAUGUUCCCAGAAGUAGGAAGUGGAUGCCAGGUAGAAGGAAGAGAUAGAGCAAGUGGUUGGUCACUGUCUCUGCUACAUACUAUCUCUUGCUAUGCCCAAGAGAUUGCCAUAAGGGCUCCUAAGCCUCCUGCUCUGAUACAAGAGGUCAGCAUUGUCUUGGUGAAAGGUUAGGUAAUUAGUUCUCACAGGUUGUGCAGAGUCUUCUUGCCCAUCUCUGACUCGAUCUGCUAAAGAACUUGAACUAUCCUCAUAAAGUGUCUAUGUCCUCCAGGGUCUGGGUGAGCUGACUGCAAGUCUCAGGCAGGGAAGCUAAAUAUUUGUAGGCACUCUGAACAGCAUUAGGGUCUUAAUCAUAUAGUUCUAAUGGACAUCCAAAAAGAAUAGCAACAUCCUGUAUUGUUUUGGGAGCUUUUGGAGGACUUUCUGACCAACAACACAAAAAGAGAUAUCACACAUGCACUAAGAUUUUUGUUCAUUUACAGUUGGCUAUUAAGUUUAUCAUUACUCAAGACAAGAGAGCUAUUGUCUCUCAUGCUCAUUGGUUUUAGUUGGCUUACACAGUAGGAGGUUUUCAAAUGUUUCUCAUUUUGGACAACCCUCCUUUCAUCCUCAACUCCCCCAUGUGCAUCCUCCCAUUCCCUCUUAAACCCUUCUUCCCCUCUUGCUCUUUAUAUCACUUAUGCUCUGCUACCCAACCCUUGAAGCAUCCUCAUCUCUAAAGGCCCAUUUCUAGUUUCCUUGUAUCUCCAGGUGCUCCUGUGACUAGUGGCAAAAUCAUGGCCACAUAGAUGCCUCUGGUUAAAUGCAGUGAAGGUCAAGAUAAAACAAAUAUGGGGAUGUGGAAGAAGACUCAUAGGAAGGAGAGACAUUAGGAAUGGGAGGGAGUAGGUGGUGGUGAUUUUAAUCAGCAUGCAUCAUACAUGUAUGUUGUCUGUAUACAUAAGAUGUAUAUGUGUUAAUUUGCAUACAUACAUGAAAUUGUCAAAGAAAAAAUUUAAGGAGGGGUAAAAUGUUUUAACAGAUUUUUACUGAAUUGGGGAAAUAAUGAAAAAAAAACAUGCUUUAUAAGUAAAAAUAUUAGUUAUCUUUGCAGUUAUGAUUUUACACAGAAAGUCAAAUCUUGACAUUUGAAUGGUUAUUAAUUUAGUAAUAUUUCAAUGGCAAUGAAUGAUAGGAUGCUAAAUGUGACUUCAUUCUUUGAUAUUUUUAGCUUUCCUAGUGGUAGUUACUAGUGCUGAGAGCAAUCAACAUUGAGAGUAUAUUUAACUUAGAUUUUAAAAUAAUGCUUGAUACAACUUCAAUUUCUGUGACCUAGAAAUAUUGAUGCACCAAUUUUCUGCAUUAAAAACUUUCUUCUUAUGUUUUUGUCCUUGCUUAAAUGGGCAAAUGCUAGCUAAAUGUGUUGGAGAAUACAGUACUUUCAGGAAAUGACAAGAAAUAUUGAUUUACUUUAUUCUUAUUCCCUCAAGCAGAACAGCCAUAAAAUAUGUUCAAUUUCUUCUCAUUUUUAUCUGUAGAUUACACUGACUUGUGGUGCAGAUGACAGGUGUGGACAUGAUAGGAACAUAUUGACGUUUAUGAGGAUUUGACUUCAAAGCUUCAAAGAUGAAAAGUCUACUGAGAAAUUCAACCAGAGCUUUAUUCAUGCAAUUAUUGUGGUGCUAAAUUUUGCUAGUUAUAAACAUGAAUACAGAUCUGACACAGGAAAUUCAAUCAAGGACAAUUCCUGUAAGACUAAAAGUUCACCUUCAAUAAGUCAACAUGAAAACUACUUUGGAACUCUUGGAAAAUUUAAAAUAUUGAACAAAAUCUACAUGUAUAAUUUUAAAGUGUGUCAUUAAAUAGAAAUAGAAUCAUGUUGACCUAUGUAAUUCCAUAUAAGCUACUGAUUUUGACAUACAAAAGGUUAAAUUUUAAACCAAUUUUUGUGCAAAUUUCAAGUGUAUUAAUUAUUCUUUGGUUAGUCAUAGAUAAUUGCAUUCUUUUAUGUCUAUUUGAGAGUGACUCAACUUUGAAUAAAUCAGAAGAGUCUCACUGCUCUAGGGAACUUGACUGCUCCUCUGCCAUAGUUCAUUAGGAAUGUGUAAGCAGGCUGCCUUAAGGACAUCAUAAAAUACCUACAGUGGUGUGUGCACUUACUCCUCAUAUGUAGUUUUGUUUCUGAAGGCUUUUAUGUUUUGUUGGAUUCCUAUGAUUACUACCCCAUGUCUUGAAGAGAGAAGUGGUAUGAUGAAGCUCCUCAAUGUAGCUACUGCUGGUCUCUAUUUUCUCUGUGUGUAAGAUGCAGAAUUGUUCCAGUAUAUUCUCCGAGCUACACAGGUUAAGUAGGCACAGAUUAGCGUAUGGUCGUGGAAUAUGUGCAUGUUAAGGUCCAUAUGCAAGUUGUGUUAACUGACUCCAUGGUAUUUUGCCUCUUGUUUGAAUGAUUCCCCCACUACACACAUCCACAGGUAGUUCUUCAAUGGAGUCUGCAAUUAAUACUCAUGUGAGAGUAACAUCUCAGAUUCAAAAGAGUGAAUCUGAAUAUUUUGCAAGAUCUGCAUGUCAAUAACCAAAGUUUAUUGAAAGCAAAAAUGUUUAGUGAUUCAUAUUUUGGUACUAGAAGAGUAAGCUUUGAUAUGUCAGUACUCUCAUGUGUCUAUAAGAGAUCCUCAUGUAAAAUACUCAAAGAAAAGCUUGAGGAAACCUUUUUUUUGGGGGGGGGUCAAACAUACAAAUAAUGACAUGCUGCUGUCCCACAUUUACAAUGGAUGUUUGGGUAGAUGGCCACUCUCUUCCACAGAGGAUGCUACUAAAUUAGUGGUGGACAUUUUAAGGUGUUAGAUAGGAUUUG